AGAGUUUGAUCCUGGCUCAGGAUGAACGCUGGCGGCGUGCUUGACACAUGCAAGUCGAACGGAGCGUUUUUUCGGAAGUUUUCGGAUGGAAGAGAGAAUGACUUAGUGGCGGACGGGUGAGUAACGCGUGGGUAACCUGCCUCACACAGGGGGACAACUGCUGGAAACGGCUGCUAAUACCGCAUAAGCGCACAGGAUCGCAUGAUCCAGUGUGAAAAGCCGAGACGGUGUGAGAUGGACCCGCGUCUGAUUAGGUAGUUGGCGGGGUAACGGCCCACCAAGCCGACGAUCAGUAGCCGGCCUGAGAGGGUGAACGGCCACAUUGGGACUGAGACACGGCCCAAACUCCUACGGGAGGCAGCAGUGGGGAAUAUUGCACAAUGGGGGAAACCUUGAUGCAGCGACGCCGCGUGAGUGAAGAAGUAUUUCGGUAUGUAAAGCUCUAUCAGCAGGGAAGAAAAUGACGGUACCUGAGUAAGAAGCCCCGGCUAACUACGUGCCAGCAGCCGCGGU
rnacentral:rRNA from 1 species